GCCUCUAUAGCUCAGUGGCAGAGCACUGGUCUUGUCAACCAGGGGUCGAGAGUUCGAUCCUCUCUGGAGGCA
rnacentral:tRNA from 1 species